GACACAGUGUUUUGGGAAGCGAGAAGCGGAAAAAAGCGACGAGGGCUUGCUUCACAGAAGCGAGAAGCGUGAAGCGAAGCGCACUUUUUUUUAAAAAAAAGCGACAUUUAGUAUAAAAAUAAAAAAAAAUAUUAAAUAACUAAAUAGAGGUAAUAUAGUCUUAGAUUGAAAGAAAUUACAUAGGCAAAAAUACUCAUAAGU
rnacentral:misc_RNA from 1 species